ACACGUAAGUUGCGAGCGUUGUUCGGAAUUAUUGGGCGUAAAGGGCAUGUAGGCGGUUCUGCAAGUCUGGUGUGAAAUGCCGGGGCUCAACCCCGGAACUGCGUUGGAAACUGCGGAACUGGAGUCGCUGAGGGGCAGCCAGAAUUCCAGGUGUAGGGGUGAAAUCUGUAGAUAUCUGGAAGAAUACCAAUGGCGAAGGCAGGCUGCCAGCAGAUGACUGACGCUGAGGUGCGAAGGUGCGGGGAGCAAACAGGAUUAGAUACCCUGGUAGUCCGCACAGUCAACUAUGUACACUGGGUGUCCGUUCAUGAGAAUGGGUGCCGAAGCAAACGCGAUAAGUGUACCGCCUGGGGAGUAUGCCCGCAAGGGUGAAACUUAAAGGAAUUGACGGGG
rnacentral:rRNA from 1 species